AAGAAAGUAUGCGAGAACUGCUAAUUCACGCCCCCAUAUAUAAACAUAUGGCUUUCUUA
rnacentral:tRNA from 1 species